rnacentral:rRNA from 1 species
AGGGAAUCUUCCGCAAUGGACGAAAGUCUGACGGAGCAACGCCGCGUGAGUGAUGAAGGUUUUCGGAUUGUAAAACUCUGUUGUUAGGGAAGAACAAGUACAAUAGUAACUGAUUGUACCUUGACGGUACCUAACCAGAAAGCCCCGGCUAACUACGUGCCAGCAGCCGCGGUAAUACGUAGGGGGCAAGCGUUGUCCGGAAUUAUUGGGCGUAAAGCGCGCGCAGGCGGUCCUUUAAGUCUGAUGUGAAAGCCCACGGCUUAACCGUGGAGGGUCAUUGGAAACUGGAGGACUUGAGUACAGAAGAGGAGAGUGGAAUUCCACGUGGAGCGGUGAAAUGCGUAGAGAUGUGGAGGAACACCAGUGGCGAAGGCGACUCUCUGGUCUGUAACUGACGCCGAGGCGCGAAAGCGUGGGGAGCGAAC